CCUACGGGAGGCAGCAGUGGGGAAUAUUGCACAAUGGGGGAAACCCUGAUGCAGCGACGCCGCGUGAGUGAAGAAGUAUUUCGGUAUGUAAAGCUCUAUCAGCAGGGAAGAAAAUGACGGUACCUGAUUAAGAAGCCCCGGCUAACUACGUGCCAGCAGCCGCGGUAAUACGUAGGGGGCAAGCGUUAUCCGGAUGUACUGGGUGUAAAGGGGGCGUAGACGGCAGCACAAGUCUGGAGUGAAAUGCCGGGGCUUAACCCCGGAACUGCUUUGGAAACUGUGCAGCUAGAGUGCAGGAGAGGUAAGUGGAAUGCCUAGUGUAGCGGUGAAAUGCGUAGAUAUUAGGAGGAACACCAGUGGCGAAGGCGGCUUACUGGACUGUAACUGACGUUGAGGCUCGAAAGCGUGGGGAGCAAACAGGAUUAGAUACCCCUGUAGUC
rnacentral:rRNA from 1 species